rnacentral:rRNA from 1 species
UAGGGAAUCUUCGGCAAUGGGGGCAACCCUGACCGAGCAACGCCGCGUGAGUGAAGAAGGUUUUCGGAUCGUAAAGCUCUGUUGUAGGUCAAGAACGGGUGUGAGAGUGGAAAGUUCACACUGUGACGGUAGCUUACCAGAAAGGGACGGCUAACUACGUGCCAGCAGCCGCGGUAAUACGUAGGUCCCGAGCGUUGUCCGGAUUUAUUGGGCGUAAAGCGAGCGCAGGCGGUUUGAUAAGUCUGAAGUUAAAGGCUGUGGCUCAACCAUAGUUCGCUUUGGAAACUGUCAAACUUGAGUGCAGAAGGGGAGAGUGGAAUUCCAUGUGUAGCGGUGAAAUGCGUAGAUAUAUGGAGGAACACCGGUGGCGAAAGCGGCUCUCUGGUCUGUAACUGACGCUGAGGCUCGAAAGCGUGGGGAGCGAACAGGAUUAGAUACCCUGGUAGUCCACGCCGUAAACGAUGAGUGCUAGGUGUUGGAUCCUUUCCGGGAUUCAGUGCCGCAGCUAACGCAUUAAGCACUCCGCCUGGGGGAGUACGACCGCA